rnacentral:lncRNA from 1 species
GGAAAAGACCGCGUCCGUCACCCUCCGUCGUGCGUUUGUCGCCCUCCGGUCCACGUGAACAAGGGAGCUGCAGUGAGUGAGCAGCGUUUUCUCUAAUCUGCAAUCUCUUUUAGCAUAUUUUUUAUUUUAAAAUUCCAAUUUAAAAACUUUUAAGAAUUCAAAAAAUGACUGGAACCAGUAGGUUGUUAUUUUUUAAAAUAAAAAAUUCUGAUACUUUCGAAUAGAUAUUGUUUAAGAUGCUUACUUAAACGCAGCCUCUUUCUCCGCACGACACCGUUUUUGCUAAACGCAAGAGCUACGAAAUUGGACUUCACCUCAACAGUGCCGUUUCGUUCUCUGACUCCUACUUUUCGGGUUGGAGAGACAAAGCCCGAUGAGUCAAAAAGUUGUUCCUUUUGUCUUUUGUGUUUUCCCUAUUUCAGGCCAGCUUCUCCCUUUUUAUUUAUGCAUUCCAGGUAAUAAUAUAACCAAAAUUUAUACUAAUAAAUAAAUAUUUCUAAAUAUAUAGAUUACAUUAUAAUUAUUGAUCAUUUCUUGUAAGAAAUCCAAAAAUAUUGAAAAUGAUAAAGAGAUAAAAAGUUAAGAAAAUUAUCUUUAAUCUAAAAUUUUAGGACUCAUUUUCACGCUCAAUUAUCAACUCUUUUUUUCAUCUUCAUUGCAAGUCGUCGUUGUCAUCGUCGCACUACGAGGGAACUCGUCACUCCAACCUCGCUACCAGUAACAUGGAUGAAGACGUCAACAACCUGGGAGGGGUCGAACUUUGAGGGUAUUGUGAAGUGAUGAUGAUUGAAGAGGAAGAGGAGUCUUAGGGUUUCAAAGUGAUAAAAUGAGGCCUAGCAAAGUGUAAAAACUAAGAGAGGGUUAAUAUAUAGUGGGGAUUAGGGCUUUUGCUUAUUCUCAAACUGAAAGCCUCUAUUUUGGCCGAAUCCACGUAUGUUGCUUCCUCCACUUUUCCUUUUGCAUUCUGAAAUGGGC